AGAAAAAGAAAGGCUUGCUGUAUCUCUGAAGGAGGCUCCAGCCCUCUUGGGGCAUCUUCCUCAGACACUGAAUGAACAGGUGGGGCAGAGGCUGCCAGGAGUCCAGGAGGAGCGGCUCAUUCAGAUACGCAGCCAACAUUGACUCUCCCUCUGCCCACCUGCAGAAUGGCUGACGGGCCUAAGAAUCCUGCAGACUUCAAUUUACCAGUCUUCAGAGACAGGCUGUCAGUUCCAGUCCUAGGUACAGACCUAAGAGAAAGGAGUGUCAGGUCCUCCAGAAGACAAACAAGAAUGUUCAUAGCCCCCUAAGGCACAGCCUCCAACAGGCAACAACCCAUGGGGAUGAAGGGGAACAGCUCCAGCAAAAACGGCAGGUGAGGAUGAAGACGGUUCAGAGGAAGCAGACCCACAGGCUCUCCUGAGCGCCACGAGAGCUCCAUUGUUCUCUGCAAGUCUCAGAGAUGUCCCCAGCACGCUGCGGGUCAGCUGAAGGAAGUUUUGGCUCCGGGUUUUGUCAUCUCUUC